GAUGAACGCUGGCGGCGUGCCUAAUACAUGCAAGUCGAGCGAACAGACGAGGAGCUUGCUCCUCUGACGUUAGCGGCGGACGGGUGAGUAACACGUGGAUAACCUACCUAUAGGACUGGGAUAACUUCGGGAAACCGGAGCUAAUACCGGAUAAUAUAUUGAACCGCAUGGUUCAAUAGUGAAAGACGGUUUUGCUGUCACUUAUAGAUGGAUCCGCGCCGCAUUAGCUAGUUGGUAAGGUAACGGCUUACCAAGGCAACGAUGCGUAGCCGACCUGAGAGGGUGAUCGGCCACACUGGAACUGAGACACGGUCCAGACUCCUACGGGAGGCAGCAGUAGGGAAUCUUCCGCAAUGGGCGAAAGCUUGACGGAGCAACGCCGCGUGAGUGAUGAAGGUCUUCGGAUCGUAAAACUCUGUUAGUAGGGAAGAACAAAUGUGUAAGUAACUAUGCACGUCUUGACGGUACCUAAUCAGAAAGCAACGGCUAACUACGUG
rnacentral:rRNA from 1 species